UUCCAAUACUGAUCGAACGGUGCCCCGGCAACGCGCUGGGGAGAAUAGGGAAUGCCGUGCGUUCCCCCCGCUGCUGCGGCAAUCGCAGCAACCACAUACAGGCGGGGAACAAUUCGGCAGCGGUUGCGCCGCUGUGACGGGCGACGCUCCUUUCCACACCACAAACCACUGCUCCAUUGCGGAGCGGGAAGGCCGGAAAGGAAGCGAAUGACCCCGAAGCCAGAAGACCUGCCGUCCGAUCCUCAUCAAC
rnacentral:ncRNA from 2 species